ACCAAGAGAUCGGGAUAACACCUGGAAACAGAUGCUAAUACCGGAUAACAACAGAUGAUGCCUAUCAACUGUUUAAAAGAUGGUUCUGCUAUCACUCUUGGAUGGACCUGCGGUGCAUUAGCUAGUUGUGGGUAACGGCCUACCCAAGGCGAUGAUGCAUAGCCGAGUUGAGAGACUGAUCGGCCACAUUGGGACUGAGACACGGCCCAAACUCCUACGGGAGGCAGCAGUC
rnacentral:rRNA from 1 species